GUGUGCCCAGGCGCCUGGCGUCCGCGUCGGCGAUCCGGGGUCUGGGCGCGGCGAGAUCAGGGUGGCUGUUCUUGGGUGCUGCACCAAAACUCCAGCAGUGGGCUUUCUUCAAGUGGCCGGCUCACCUCAUUCCUGCCAAGACCCAGGUCCGUGUUCUCACAGUGCUGCCAUCUUUCCUCCGUGUGAGCGUGGGCUGUGCGGAGAGUGGACCUCGGUGUGUGCGGGGCUGCGUGCACUGCCAUCGCUCCCUCUACACGAGCCGGCGUGGACCCAGGGCUGAGCUGUGACCACGAGGGCCAUCCCGACGAGCCGCCAUGGACCCAGGGCUGAGCUGUGACCAUGAGGGCUAUCCCGACGAGCUGCCGUGGACCCAGGGCUGAGCCGUGACCAUGAGGGCCAUCCCGAAACUGUGAUUGUUUUCUGAAUGUGGAAGCGUCGGCCGAGCGCGGUCCUUGGAGAACCCUUGCUGCGGAGAAUGACGCUCACUCUGCGGCCUGGCCUCGCCUCCCCAUCCCUUCUGCAAACUCACAGGACAGGAUUGAUGGGGAGAGCCCAGGCGAAACGAAGCUGACCCUAGUGACCAGCCCUACUGGCGGCUCUGGAACAGGCCCGGGACCGGUGGCCUGGAGACAGUGGUCCUUUCUGGAUGGGCUGCAGUCUCCGAAGGCUUCCCCCACUGGAGUCAGCCCUUUAGGAGUUUGUCCAGUGCCUCCAGAAAGCUGUUUUUUGGGGGACGGAGGACUUGGCCUGGAAUUCUGGAAUUCCCAGGGGGUCAGACAUGGUUAUGGGAAGUUUAAUAAAACCGGUGAAUCACGUGAA
rnacentral:lncRNA from 1 species